GAUGAACGCUAGCGGCAGGCUUAACACAUGCAAGUCGAGGGGCAUCACGGGUAGCAAUACCUGGUGGCGACCGGCGCAAGGGUGCGUAACGCGUGAGCAACAUGCCCUAUACAGGGGGAUAAUCCAGGGAAACUUGGUCUAAUAUCCCAUAGCAUUUAGAGGUGGCAUCACCAUUAAAUUAAAGCUUCGGUGGUAUAGGAUUGGCUCGCGUGACAUUAGCUAGAUGGUGGGGUAACGGCUCACCAUGGCUAUGAUGUCUAGGGGUUCUGAGAGGAAGACCCCCCCAACUGGGACUGAGACACGGCCCAGACUCCUACGGGAGGCAGCAGUGAGGAAUAUUGGACAAUGGAUGGAAAUCUGAUCCAGCCAUGCCGCGUGCAGGAAGACGGCCCUAUGGGUUGUAAACUGCUUUUAUAUGGGAGCAAUAAGGUCUACGGAGUAGACCGAAUGAGAGUACCAUAGUGUAAUAAGCAAGUCGG
rnacentral:rRNA from 1 species